AUUUUAUUGAGAAAAUAUAUUAUUUUAGAAAAUAUGAAAUUAUGAAAUAGUUUAUCAACAAGAAUGCGUCCAUAGUACACUGAUGCCCCACUGGCAAUAUCAUUUUCCAUGUUCAGUGGACUGUGAAAAUGGGGUCAAAACUUUAAUUUGGCACCAAAAUUAGAAAGAUCAUAUCAUGGGGAACAUGUGCACUAAGUUUAAAGUUGAUUGGACUUCAACUUCAUCAAAAACUACCUUGACUGAUAACUUUAACCUGAAUCCGGAUGAAGGGACACACCGACAAACGGACGUACAGACCAGAAAACAUAAUUCCCCUCUACUAUCG
rnacentral:lncRNA from 1 species